rnacentral:lncRNA from 1 species
AAAAGCCCAACAGAGACCCAAAAACCCCAGUUUUGACAAAAACCUUAAGCAAUGUGAUUGAACUUAGCAUAAAAGUAAAAAAUUUGGGGAAGUGACUAAUAGUGACGACUUACAAAUCUAUUAAUAGGGGUUUUAAGCUUGAGAAUAAUGAUAACUCUUUUAUCUCUUCUUUGUAAAAGUAAAAGUAGUAGUGUUCGAGGUAACAUUAUCUUUUACAGCAAGUAUUGAAAAACGAUUCUUAUGUUAUUCUAGUUAUUUUUUA